GUGAGUUCAGCAGCACAUAUACUAAAAUUGGAACGAUACAGAGAAGAUUAGCAUGGCCCCUGCACAAGGAUGACAUGCAAACUCAAACAUCUUAAUAUUGCU